GAAGCAGGUGAUGAAAGCAAGACAGGGACAUCAGCACCCUCUUCUCUUUCGAGAGAGAGAUGGGAAUGAUCGACUGAAGUCUAUAAUGGGAAUCUCUCUGAUGCUUU
rnacentral:snoRNA from 1 species